CCCAUAAGAGGGGGAUAACGAUCCGGAAACGGGUGCUAAUACCGCAUAGUUUUUCUUGAUCGCAUGAUUGAGAAAGGAAAGACGGCCUUUGUGCUGUCGCUUAUGGAUGGACCCGCGGCGUAUUAGUUAGUUGGUGAGGUAACGGCUCACCAAGACGAUGAUACGUAGCCGACCUGAGAGGGUGAUCGGCCACAUUGGGACUGAGACACGGCCCAAACUCCUACGGGAGGCAGCAGUAGGGAAUCUUCCGCAAUGGACGAAAGUCUGACGGAGCAACGCCGCGUGAGUGAAGAAGGUUUUUUACCGGAUCGUAAAACUCUGUUGUCAGAGAAGAACAAGUUGGAGAGUAACUGCUCCAGCCUUGACGGUAUCUGACCAGAAAGCCACGGCUAACUACGUGCCAGCAGCAGC
rnacentral:rRNA from 1 species